rnacentral:rRNA from 1 species
UACGUAGGGGGCAAGCGUUGUCCGGAUUUAUUGGGCGUAAAGAGCGUGUAGGCGGCCAGGUAGGUCGGUUGUGAAAACUGGAGGCUUAACCUCCAGACGUCGACCGAAACCAUCUGGCUAGAGUCCGGAAGAGGAGAGUGGAAUUCCUGGUGUAGCGGUGAAAUGCGCAGAUAUCAGGAAGAACACCAAUGGCGAAAGCAGCUUUCUGGGACGGUACUGACGCUGAGACGCGAAAGCGUGGGGAGCGAACAGG